rnacentral:rRNA from 1 species
GACAGAGGUGCCAAGCGUUAGGCGGAAUCACUGGGCUUAAAGCGUGUGUAGGCGGAUCGUUAAGUACCUUGUGAAAUCCCACGGCUCAACCGUGGAACUGCUCGGUAUACUGGCGGUCUUGAGCCACCUAGGGGCAACUGGAACAAGCGGUGGAGCGGUGAAAUGCGUAGAUAUCGCUUGGAACGCCAACGGUGAAAACAGGUUGCUGGGGGGUGUGCUGACGCUGAGGCGCGAAAAGCU